UACGUAGGGUGCGAGCGUUAAUCGGAAUUACUGGGCGUAAAGCGUGCGCAGGCGGUGAUGUAAGACAGAUGUGAAAGCCCCGGGCUCAACCUGGGAAUUGCAUUUGAGACUGCGUAGCUAGGGUGCGGAAGAGGGAAGCGGAAUUUCCGGUGUAGCGGUGAAAUGCGUAGAUAUCGGAAGGAACACCAGUGGCGAAAGCGGCUUCCUGGUCCAGCACCGACGUUCAGGCACGAAAGCGUGGGGAGCAAACAGG
rnacentral:rRNA from 1 species